GAUGGUCAUUAAGUUAAGCUACUUUUAAUUUUUCUGUAACGCUAACUCGUAUGAAAGUGAAUAAGUAAGGUCCUUUCAUAAUUUUGAUAAAAGGUGUGGAGUUGGGUGCAUUCAUUUGCAAGUUUCCAAUGCCUGUGUAAUCACGUUUAUAGAUACAUCCGGUGAAAGCCUGAAUUCUAUCUUUCACCGUUGAUAGCUUUGGCGAAGCGCAAUAUUUGUUGUGGUGAACACACGUGGUGUUCGAAGGAAGACCGUACACAUUGACAAAGGAUGGUGUUUUUCAUCUGCAGCCACUGUGGUGCAUCCUUAAAGAAAAAUAAGGUUGAGAAACAUUAUGCACUUCAGUGUCGUAAUGCUCCCCAAGUGUCUUGUAUGGAUUGCCACAAAGAAUUCAGAGGUAAUGAUUAUGUGGCUCAUACAAAAUGCAUAACGGAAGAUGAAAAAUAUUCAGCAAAAGGAUUUGUACCAAAGCCAAACUCUAAUAAGGGUGAAUGUAAGCAGCACGAAUGGCUUGAAGUCGUCAGAGGAGUCCAAUCGCAAGAAAACUUACCAAAAUGUUUGAAGACUGUGUUAGACAGUAUUGUUAAAUUCGAAAAUGUUCCAAGAAAGAAACCAAAAUUUUUGAACUUCUUAAAAAGCAAUCACAUCAAACUCGCUCCACAUGAUUUAGACCAGCUUUGGGAUUUAUUGGAGAAGGAGCAUAAACGAGUGAAAGAAAAUGUGGAAACAUCUACUACAGACAAAGUUGUUGAGACAAAGAAAGAAGAUUCUACUACAGAUGUGGGUAAGGAUUCCCACAAACAAAAUGGAGACUUGUCUGUGGAAAUAGUUGAAGAAUGUGAAGCCACACCAAAGGAUAAAACAAAGAAGAGGAAGAGAAAGUCAAAAGAUGAAGCUAUAGACAUUACUGAGAAAGAUGCAGAUGAGAGUGUACAAGCAGCAGAGAAACAAAAUGGAACUGCCAUGGACAUUGAUCAGGAAUGUGAAGAUACAACAAAGAGUAAAAAGAAGAAGAAAAAGAACAAAACAGAAACUGUGGAUGGUAGUGAAACCCAAGAAAAUGGGAAUUUACAAGCUGCAGGAGUACUAAAUGAAAACACUUCAAUGGAAGUUACAAGUGAAAUUACACCAAAGGAGAAAGCAAAGAAGAAAAAGAAUAAAAAAGAAAAUAGAAGUGAAAUUAUGGAUGAUAUUGAGAGUCAUGCAAGUGGGAAUUUUCAAGCUCCAGUAAAACAAAAUGAAUCCAUCCCUAUAGAAGUCAAUGAAGAAUCUCAAAUUACGCCAAAAAGGAAAACGAAAGAGGAUAAAAAGGAGACUGGAACUGAAGUGGUAGAAGGUGGUGAAACACAAGAACUUGAAGGAAAACAGGAAGAUGUGACAUUAACAAAAAAGCAGAAAAAAGAGAAAAAGAAGAGGGAGAAGUAUGAAGCUGAACUAAAAGAAAUUGAAAAUAGUCAGUUCAAUGAUCAGCCUCUGGAGGAAGAUGAUGAUGAAGGACAAAACAGAAAGAAAAAGAAGUCUAAGAAAGAUAAAGAUGUAAAUGGAUUAGAUAACAAUGUAAAUAUUGUCACAGGAGUGCAUUCUGAAGAAGUGCCAAUAAAACCUAAGAAAAAACGGCAGUUAGAUGACCAGUUUGCUGAGCCAUUGAAGAAGAAGAAAAAAGAACAAGGUUUAGACUGAAAUUAUUAAUAAUAUUACCUAUGGCAGCAGAGUAAAAGACCACGUGGGGAGUGCGUACCAAUUUUGGAUUGGAAAGUUCUGGAAUGGGCUGUAAGGUGACGAACAGGUUGAAGAAAUAUGUGCAGUUGAGUGUGUUGCAGCUGAGAACACUAAUGGCUUACAGAAGUUUCAAUGGAAUGAAGCAAUAUUGGAAGUAGUACGAUCUAAAGGUGGUGAGAUACCAGUGAA